rnacentral:rRNA from 1 species
GACGAACGCUGGCGGCGUGCUUAACACAUGCAAGUCGAACGGAAAGGCCCUGCUUGCAGGGUGCUCGAGUGGCGAACGGGUGAGUAACAUGUGGGUGAUCUGCCCCUUACUUUGGGAUACGCCUGGGAAACUGGGUCUAGUACUGGAUAGGACCGUGCUGUAGGUGGUGUGGUGGAUAGAUUUUUUCGGUAAGGGAUGAGGUCGCGGCCUCUCAGCUUGUUGGUGGGGUGGUGGGCUACCAAGCCGCCGAGUGGUAGCCGGCCUGUGGGGGUGGGCGGCCACAUUGGCACUGGGAUACGGCGAAGACGCCUACGCGAGGCAGCGGUGGGGAAGAGGGAACAAUCGGAGCAAGCGGGAGGCAGCGACGCCGCGUGGGGGUGGGCGGCCUUCGGGUUGUAGUCUCCUAACGGCCAUGACGAAGCCGCUGUGGGAGUGACGGUAGUGGUAGAAGAAGCACCGGCUAACUACGUG